rnacentral:rRNA from 1 species
CUAACAAGGAUUCCCUUAGUAACUGCGAGUGAAGCGGGAAUAGCUCAAAUUUAAAAUCUGGCAGUGUUUGGCUGUCCGAAUUGUAGCCUAGAGAAGUGUUGCCGAUGCUGGACCAUGUACAAGUCUCCUGGAAGGGAGCGUCGCAGAGGGUGAGAAUCCCGUAUUUGACAUGGACUACCAGUGUAUUGUGGUAUGCUCUCAAAGAGUUGAGUUGUUUGGGAAUGCAGCUCUAAAUGGGUGGUAAACUCCAUCUAAAGCUAAAUAUUGGCGAGAGACCGAUAGCAAACAAGUACCGUGAGGGAAAGAUGAAAAGAACUUUGGAAAGAGAGUUAAACAGUACGUGAAAUUGU